rnacentral:rRNA from 1 species
UGCGCCUUGCCAGCCGCUCAGAACUUAAAGGAAUUGACGGGGCCCGCACAAGCGGUGGAGCAUGUGGUUUAAUUCGAAGCAACGCGAAGAACCUUACCAGGCCUUGACAUGCAGAGAACUUUCCAGAGAUGGAUUGGUGCCUUCGGGAACUCUGACACAGGUGCUGCACGGCUGUCGUCAGCUCGUGUCGUGAGAUGUUCGGUUAAGUCCGCUAACGAGCGCAACCCUCGCUGUGUGUUACAAGUGUCACACGGAACUGCCGGUCAUAAACCGGAGGAAGGUGGGGAUGACGUCAAGUCCUCAUGGCCUUUAUGACCAGGGCUACACACGUACUACAAUGGCCGAUACAAAGGGCAGCGACACUGCGAGGUGAAGCCAAUCCCGUAAAAUCGGUCUCAGUCCGGAUUGGAGUCUGCAACUCGACUCCAUGAAGUUGGAAUCGCUAGUAAUCGUGGAUCAGCAUGCCACGGUGAAUACGUUCCCGGGCCUU